GCAUAUCCAAAAGCGGAGGAAAAGAAACCACCCGGGAUUGCCUUAGUAACGGCGAGUGAAGCGGCAAAAGCUCAAAUUUGAAAUCUGGUACCUUCGGUGCCCGAGUUGUAAUUUGGAGAGGGCAACUUUGGGGCCGUUCCUCGUCUAUGUUCCUUGGAACAGGACGUCAUAGAGGGUGAGAAUCCCGUGUGGCGAGGAGUGCGGUUCUUUGUAAAGUGCCUUCGAAGAGUCGAGUUGUUUGGGAAUGCAGCUCUAAGUGGGUGGUAAAUUCCAUCUAAAGCUAAAUAUUGGCGAGAGACCGAUAGCGAACAAGUACAGUGAUGGAAAGAUGAAAAGAACUUUGAAAAGAGAGUGAAAAAGUACGUGAAAUUGUUGAAAGGGAAGGGCAUUUGAUCAGACAUGGUGUUUUGUGCCCUCUGCUCCUUGUGGGUAGGGGAAUCUCGCAUUUCACUGGGCCAGCAUCAGUUUUGGUGGCAGGAUAAAUCCAUAGGAAUGUAGCUUGCCUCGGUAAGUAUUAUAGCCUGUGGGAAUACUGCCAGCUGGGACUGAGGACUGCGACGUAAGUCAAGGAUGCUGCA
rnacentral:rRNA from 1 species